GAGACUUCCCAGCCCUGCACCCGCAGUGCUGAAUCCGAUGGAGCUCACGUGCAGAGGUCAUGGCUCCAAACAGUGCUCAGCCAGCACAAACCGGAGCUUCAUCCAGAAAGGAGAAUGAAGAUGCUGUUGAGAAAGCGCAUAUUUGCGGAGGCCCCAAGGCCAAGAGGCAUCAGAUGUCCAACAGCAGCUCCAUCACCAAGUUCCUUCUCCUGCCAUUUGCAGUCACACGG